UACGUAGGUGGCAAGCGUUAUCCGGAAUUAUUGGGCGUAAAGCGCGCGUAGGCGGUUUUUUAAGUCUGAUGUGAAAGCCCACGGCUCAACCGUGGAGGGUCGAUGGAAACUGGGAAACUAGAGUGCGGUAGAGGAAAGUGGAAUUCCAUGUGUAGCGGUGAAAUGCGUAGAGAUAUGGAGGAACACCAGUGGCGAAGGCGACUUUCUGGACUGUAACUGACGCUGAUGUGCGAAAGCGUGGGGAUCAAACAGG
rnacentral:rRNA from 1 species